CGCCAUCUUCUCACUUAUCACAGCCGCAUCAUCUUUUCUUUUUUCAUUUGUUUCGUCUAUAUUCAAGCUGGAAAAACAACCAAAGCAAACUGACACUGUCGAAGUUUCACGGUUUAGCAUAAUCCAGAAAUUGAAACCCAAUUAUCACUGUUUUUAAAUUGAUCUCUAAGGUUUCUUCUAACUUAUCUACUUUUAUUUUGUAUGAUAAUUUUUCAUUUAAUGGGAUUUCCAUGAUUGGGGAUAAGUAAGAGAUGGCGAAACUUCGUGGUAAACCAAUUCCGACGACCAUUUCCAGAAUCCGAAGAAAGAAAAUGAAAAUUGAAGACCCAACAACAACUAAAGAUGGUGUUAAACCCGGCACAAGUAAAGGCAGUAAAACAGGUCCUUUUUGGAGACCUAGAAGAGAAGGCGCAAUAGCUAGAUGAAAAGCAGAUGGCAGCUCUUGAAUCAACUUCAUUUUGGAAAUGCUAGUGUUACUGAAGAAUCACUUCACAACAAAUGAAUUGUCCAAAAGUAACCAGGGUAUCGAAACGCUAAUGCACUAGCAUAUAUUAACUAAAACGAAAGACGGACAAACUUUUUGCAAGAUCUAAUGUGUUUCACUCAACUCUCGAAGACAUGGCCGUUAUAUAUGGGUUGCAACUAAAUGAGAAUAGCAUAUAUAUGGGUUACUUGAUGAAUGGAAAGUCACCGCUGGUAGAAAUGACUUGUAUAUGAAAUAUAACUUCGGAGAUAUGAAGUUCAGGUUGCUAUUAUGAAUGCAAUCAGUAAAGGGGAAGUGGAUGAUGUGUUAUAGAAGACUUAGAAGAAAAUAAUCAAGAUUGCAGUUCAACUGGUAUUGUUUUCGACCUUGUUAAGCGAGGACAAUAAUGAAAAGCAGUGUAAAGAUCUAAGACUUUUGUUGUUGAGCUUUUGAACAACUCGCUGCAACAACAAAUUAUGAAACAGAUGUGUUUUGAGUUUUUUCGCACUCGGUAUACCAUGUACUUCGGUGGAUCAAUUACAAACAUGUGAUAACCACAUUUUAAACAGUUGAAAUUACGUCCCUCCCAAAUCAAUAACUUCACAACGCAACCUCUAUUACCUGGAAAAAAUACAUGGAAAAUCACUGUAAUAAAAAAAAGGUGGUCUUUGACUUCGAGAUUUGAGAGUCAUUAGACGGACAUGAUUUGACGGGGACCAUGAUCCGGCGGUCGGCAUCAUCCUGAUCGAGCUAUGACUUGGACGGCUGGGAAUGUUUGGUUAUUGUUGUCGACAAAAAUAAGGGGGCGACGCUUAAUCGAUGAUAUAGAACCCUAAACGAGAAAUUUCCUCCACUAUUUCGUCCUCUCCUGCCUGUAGUAGUAGAGUUGCAGAGAGAGGUUUAUUGAUGAUAACUCAACCCUUCCUUGGUUCUUUAAAUCUUCUCGUACACCAUCACCUGAAUCUAUCUAUAACUUCACAUACUCCUCCUUCUUGAGCAGCAACAGUGGUUUACUGAUCACAGCAUUAUCUUCUCAUGCUUUUGCAAGUGCUUACAAUAUCUGCAUCUUCUUUUACGGAUUUAGUCGUACUUGGAAGGUUUUUUAGGUACAUUUUGUACACGUCCAUGAUGAUGGUCAUACCCUGUGGUUUUCAAAACAUAAUGAGACAAAGCAUAUAGUUCAAACAAUUUGUUGUUAUGAUAGUGGAUAGGGCUACAGACCUAUAGGCAAACUCAUCAUGUAUAUUGUAAAGGAUCCUGCAGAAGUUGGACAAUGAGCUCUCGAACAAUAUUGUUGAUAAUUCCGGGUUUAUCCAGAAUUGGCAAGCUUGCGUAAACUGAUAUUUUGUCCACUUGGGAUAUGUAAAGGGAACAAAGUUGGUAGGAGUACUGAGGUUUGUUGUUAAAAUCAUUUGACAAAGGUGUAAAAUAAUUAGAGUUAGACAUAAGAAUAAUUGUUGCAUUACCAUUUGAGCAUCAUUAGACCAAGGAGAUUAGGUCCUUUCAAGAGUUCGAGAGGCACACGAAAAGUUUGAAUCAGAUAUGACAAAAUUAUGUGAAGAGCUUAAUGAUAGAACUCCUUUUUUACCUUGCCCCUAUCUGUUUUUUUUUCUUCUUCUUUCUUUGUAACUCUCUGAUAGUCUGAUGCAUGUUAGAUUAUGCGUUCAUGUAAUUUUUACAUGUGUCUUAUGUGUUUUCCACUGCAUCCUUAAUGUAUGGAUGCAAAAGUUUUAUAUGGAGGUCUCAGAUUGGGUUUGUAUUAACCAUCCCAGUAUUUAGUGAGCGGGUCGUAGGAUCCUCCAAUGUCUUACUGGAAAUUGCAUUUGGUGCAUUCUAUGGACUGGAGCAAUCCAAUUGAAUUUUACAGGUUGACUGCACCAGAUUCAGGAAAAGUAAGAGCAUUUACAAAAAUGCUAAUUAAAAUUUGUUUAUGACGACGGGUUUAUGCAGACGGGUUGGAGCUAUUAUGUCUAGAGAUGCUGUUCUUACUUCAUCACAGCCAACAACUUAUGAUGUUUAUAGAUGCAUGCCAAACAGGUAGACUCAAGCUGGAUAAGUCGCCACAUUUCAGUUGGUGUCUCAUUCUUCAAGGUACCAAUUAUCUAAACCUCAUAUUUGUCUACUACUGUUGUCCGCGAAACACUUGGCGUCAAAAUGGUUUCUGUGUGUUCUGCAAUCUACAUGAACAUUGAAGAUCUCAUAUCUCUACAUACAAGGCGUUUUUGCUCCCUAUGCCGGAUGGUUUCAAAUGUUACAGAAUUGACAAGGGGUAAUGUUUAAGAUUAUUAAUCGUUAAUUAAUACAAGUUACGGAAGGGUUUUCUGUAACUGAGUUUAAGUGUGGUCCCUCAUUACUAUCAACUUUGACAACAAAAGUUAAUGAAUCAUAAGUCCAAAUAAUCUAAAGUUAGUGUGCAUGUUACGUCGGUCAGUGAUGCUAACUCCCACAGCUUUCUUGGAUAACAUGUAUUUCUCAAAUGUGUUUUAUCCUAUAGUUUGUGAACGAUGUUGUCUAUGUUAUCGCCUAAGUGACAUGGGAAGCGCUCUUAAAGAUGCAGUUCAAGCCCAAGUCAUUUCUCCCAUGUGAGCAAAGAUGUCAUAUAUACAAGCAGCUGCCUGUUUUGGACUUGGAAUGGAGCCAAGUUGUACUAAAAGAAGAUUUGGCUACUGAAGCAAAAAAGAAUGCAGCUUCUUUCAAGUAGUAGUUAACCAGUGAAGCUUGGUAAAAUCUCUUCAUGUGGUGGUACCUAAGAACCUUAUCAGGAAGUUUGAAGCGUAUCUUUGAAAGGUGACAUGUGUUCGAUUGACCAGUUGAACCUUCCAUGUGCGAAGCCUCGCUUUUAUCCCGCAAAGAAUGAACAAAGUGCCUACUUCAAGUUCUACAGAAAGGUUAAGCCUCCCAUGCUUAAUUCAAUUGACAUUCCUUGCAACAAAUUCUGUUUUACAAAUUUGGAGGAUUUACAAUCGAGGAUCGACAACACCUACCACACCGGGGUUGUAAACUUCGAUCCAGAUCAUGACAUCAAUUUGAGAUGAAAAACAGCUGAUGUGGUUGUAGCUUGGGCAGUUUAAGCAGAAAACUCCAUACAUUUCAAGUUUGGAAAGGAUGAUAUUUAUCCAAACUCCAAUUCAUUUUUACGCAUGGUGAAAAUUGUUCGAGGAGACUGUAAACUGUAAAGAAAGCAAAUGGUGGAAACUUGGUAAGCCUGAGGUUUUCCCAGAAGUUGUAAAACACAAUGGUGGAAUGCAGCAUGGAUGGGGUUGUAGCAUAUAAAGGAUACAAUAUAUGCAUCUGCCAACUACUGCUAAACCCGUCGUCAUGUCUUGAAGUAUUGCACCUGUUUGCUUUGUCUGCUGGGUUCGGACUACAAUUGUAUAAAUCUUGAACUAUUUUUUCGUGAUGACAAUGAGGUAAUGCUCCUGCUCAUCUUCUACAUUUUUUUGUCGUUCCCUUUUGAUCCUUUUUUCUUUUGGAAGUUUCUGUGCACUUUUUCUCAAAUUAGUUUUUAACUUAUAGUGUUUCUGGGUCAGUUGCAAAGCAUCUGAUCAGGGGCCAAUCUCAAGCAUGUGUAAAUAGCUUAGUCCCAAGAUAUUCAAGUGUCUACUAAUUAGUGAGGUGUGGGUUCGACUCCCACGGAUGGCACAGUUAAAUUAGUUGAGAAGGCCAAAACCUUACCUGUUUCCUAUGGCAACAUCAUCUCUGCAAUACACAUGCAUAACUUAGUUGAGUAGGAUGAAACCUUACCUGCUUCGGAUGUCAAUAUAAAUUUAAAAGCAUGUCGGGUAUCAUCUUGGUGCCCGUAGCAAAACAACACCAACAAUCCUAGAAUUAGGGUUUCACUUAAUUUAUACAGGUGACUGAAACCCACCUCUAACAUCAUCUUCAUCUUACUCUUCUAAGUUUUUAGAAGUUAGGGUUUCACUUUCAUCGAUUCUUUGAUUUCACAUACAUGAUACAUCUAUAAUAAAACAGGGAAUCAUUUGAUCUAUCACGUAAUUAUUCGUCUGAUGAUCGAUAAAUCACGUAACAUCAAAUGCCAUAUAUCAAUUGUAAAGGCAACAAACCUUGGGGUUACUUUUAGGAAGAGUAUUGCAUAUUCAGCCUAUGGUGCUUUUGGCUAUCAUUCUUCAUGGCAAACUACCGAUUAAUCAAACAGGAGAGGAAGUACACAAUGAAGGAGGAUUUUGGUUACCCAAGUAAAUUAAGUGAAAACAUAUUUGGAUUUUUUUCAAUGUUGGGUUGCAUUUAUCUCUAUUACACUAUUACAGGUUGUAUUUAAUCAGUGCCUAAUAUAGCAAGGUAGUCAAAGAUAGAUAGAUAACACCGCUUGCAUUAAGUUGCCAGGUAAGGUAAUUUAAAUGGACAUAAUUGUUAAUUUUAGCCCUUUCCUGAAUUUCAAUAGUAAGAUACAUUUUGCAGAAUACGUAUACAAAUCUUUCUUUGUGUUUUUUCUGCAAGUGGUAAGGUUAUUGUAUACCAAUAUUUCUUACUGUUUUGUGCUCAAGUGGUAAUAAGAUUAUUGUAAUAGGUUUAACGAGGUCAUGGCUUUUGAGACAGUUAAAAAAUUGAAAAUACCGGUUUAAGAUAAAGAAUCCUAUUACUGGGGCUUGAAAUCCAAAUAGUUUUGGGGGCUUUUUUAGGUUAUGAAAUAGCAAAUCCAAUAACCCCUUAUCCUAUUUUUUUAUUAAUGCCUAAUAUACCAUUAAUUGAAUUAGUGUUUAUUAGGGUGAUUAAGUAAACUAAUUAUGAUUGGUGUAUGAAUUAGGAUUAAUCACUACACUAUUUUAUGAAAAUCAAAACUUUUUCUCAUCAAAAUUUUUUUCUCUCUUUUUUUGAUUAAGUAAGAGGACUCUGAGGAUUUUUUUUAACUUUUUUGAAAAUCAACCACCUAAUAUGGUGGAGCAUAUCCUGAAAUUACUCUGGAUAACCUUAUAUUUGGAGGAUUUUGUUGAUUCAAAUCGGAAAACAUCCAUUAAAAAUUUGGGUUUUUUGCAAUUUCGGCUGGAAACAUGAGAUCCCAGCAGCAACUGACACUUUUUCGGCUGGGAAAUGAUGAACUUCCAGCCGAAAAUACUGUUUACGGCUGGGAUAAUUUGUCGAUCCAACCGUAGAACGCGAAAAUGGUUGGGAAUUGUUGGUGUUCCAAGGCGUAUUUGUUAUUUACGACGGGAAAAUAAAGAACUCUUGGCCGAAAUUGUUUUUCUGAUUUUUUCUGGUUUCCAGAACCAGAAAAGGAUGGGUUUUCCCAGCCGUAACUGCUGUUACGACUGGGAUUACUAUGAAUGAGAAGGAGAAGGAGAAGAUCAUAGUUUGGGGUUUUCUUUAUGAUCAUCAUCCUCAUCAUGAUGAAACUAUGAUCAUCAUCUUCAUCAUGAUUUAUGAAUGAGAAGAGGAGGAUGAGGAAAAGAUAAUAUAAAUAUUUUUUAUGAUCUUCAUCUUCUUCAUGAUGAAAUCGUGAUCAUCGAUUUCAUAUUGAUUUUUCAAUGAGAACAGAAGAAGGAGGAGAAGAGAAGAUUAUACAAAUAGGAUUGUUUCUUUUUUGAUGAAUAGUGAAAUUUAGGUAAGGGCACGUUUGACUUUUUCAUAUACCUUGAGGUCCCCCUAUCCAUCUUUUGGCUAGACAUAACAUUUUAAGCCCCCAAAAUCCUAUUGGGUUGAAGCCCCAAUAAUAGGAUUCAAGAUAAAUAUCACCUGUAGACUUUGUAUUAAGUGCACACUCAGUGCAAGUAUAUUUCCACACCAAAAGUCAAAACUUAGGCAGGGGCGGAGGCAGCUUUUGAGAAUUGGGUGGGCAGGUUAUGAAUGGGUGAACAUUUAGGGGGUGCAAAAUGGAUAAAAAUGGGAAAAUUUGGCUAAAAUAUGAAAAAUUGGGCUUGGAAACCAGAUGGGAUGGGUGGGCAAUUGCACACCCACCCUUCCAUGUGGCUCCGCCCCUGAACUUAGGUACCAUUGUGUAUGUUGUCCUGGUGUGGCGUAUUAAAUGUUGAAGUUCACAUACGUUAUCCCUUAAUAACACAAAUUUAAUGGAAGAAAACACCGAAUUAAAGUCAUAUCUUCAUCCCUUAUGCACUUCAGAAAACAUGGUAAGAUUUGUAGUUUUCUACGUACUUUGUUCUAUUUUUUUAUGAAAGGUUGUAGGUCGAGGGUGAGUGCUAAAUCCAACCGACUUGAUUCGGGGUUCAUUCGGCGACUCAUGGUUUAGAUGGAAAAGCGAUGCAAGUACAACAAGCGACAGGUGUACUUUGGAGUAUAUUCACUAAAGGUGAUGAUUGGGGUGGACUCAUUAAAAGCUCUUGAUGACAAACCUUUGAAAAGGGAAGAUGGUCUACUCCUCUGCUUUUUUUGGCAAGUUUUGGCAUGGUAAUGCAAUUUGCUGGUUCCUUGGCUACUAGGUGAAGUCAUUCUCUUAUUACAAUGUUUGCAUUUAGCUACAAGUAUCCCAAUCUCCUUACCUUUUACCAUCUUCUUUUCAGUUAACCUUUCAAAAUCAUCCCAAACAUCAGACCUUACUGCACGCAGUUUCUUCUUUGCUUCAGCUAUAAUUGGAUCUUCAUCUACUUCUAUUUCUUCUACUGCUUCUUCUGUUGCAACAGCAGCAGGUGUUGAUUGAAUUCCUGAUUGUUGAACUUGAGAUGCAGAAGGUAUGGAUCAAUGUUUGCAUGUAAUACUCUCUUUCUCUACAGGUUCCAGGUCGCGGAAAGAACGUUACAUAUAAUACCAAAGAUAGAGAUGAGGAGACAUCUGAUGUGAGGGGUAGGAAACGUGGAGUAAGUACUGACAAGGAAGUAAAGCAGGCAAUACUCUGCGCAGACAACAAAAUAAAGUACAUAGAGUCCAAUUUUGAAGAAUAUGCGACCGAUGAGUUUUGAAGAAAAAAAAAAUCUGAAUAGAUAAUGGAUUGGUUUAGCUAUAUCUUUUUCUUUUAAAAAUAAGAUUCUUAGAAGGUUUGAUCACUCUAUUCAAUAUUAGGUUCUACAUUAAGGUUCAAUUACAUUUUUUUAUAUAUUUUUAAAAAAAUAAUAAUUUGGGUUAUUGUUCUACAUUUAUUUGGCAUACUUAAUGAAUUAUAA